GAUGAACGCUGGCGGCGUGCUUAACACAUGCAAGUCGAACGAAAAGGCCCAGCUUUCGGGGGGUGUUCGUGGGGAGAACGGGCGUGACACUUGUGAGAACUCCCCUUUACACUGUGGGAAAACUUCAGGACUCUGGGGACAACCCGAUACAGGCGUUUCUCUCGUAUGGUGGGGGUUGGAAAGUUUUGGCGGUUGGGGAUGGCAUCGCGGCUUAUCAGCUUGUUGGUGGGGUAGUGGCUUACCAAGGCUAUGACGGGUAGCCGGCCUGUGAGGGUGACCGGCCACACUGGGACUGAGAGACGGCCCAGACUCCUACGGGAGGCAGAAGUGGGGAAUAUUGCACAAUGGGCGGAAGCCUGAUGCAGCAACGCCGCGUGAGGGAUGACGGCCUUCGGGUUGUAAACCUCUUUCGCCAGGGACGAAGCGUAAGUGACGGUACUUGGUGAAGAAGCACCGGCUAACUACGUG
rnacentral:rRNA from 1 species